rnacentral:lncRNA from 1 species
GAUGGCUCGCUGUAAGACCCAGAACACUGGCUCCCGUAGAGACUACAGUAGAGACUGCUGGGAUUUCCGGACAGACGGAUGUGUAGGAAGGACUGUGGCCUCAUAUCAGGGGUUGUUUAAACAGCCAGUGGUGGUCAUUUGUUAUGCAGCCGUAGAAAACCAAACCAAACCAAACCUCCAGCUUCCCGAGAGACACUUCUGAGGUGACUGAGGAUAUCAGCUAGAUAGCACACCUACAGACUCCGCCCUUCCCCAGGGCCUGAGUGAACAGAAGCUGGGAUGAUGGAGGACGGGCUACUGGCUGAUGGGAAAGGCAAAGAAUCACUGAGCUUGGACCAAGAGAUCCUUGGAAAGCUGGGGUGGGGAUGGCUUCAAAUCCCCCAUCAAUUCGCUCUUCCAAAAACACUGAUAUUUGGAUGUUGUACUGGCUGGUUUUGUGUGUCAACUUGACACAAGCUGGAGUUAUCACAGAGAAAGGAGCUUCAGGUGAGGAAAUGCCUCCAUGAGAUCCAGCUGUCAGGCAGUUUCUCAAUUAGUGAUCAAGGGUGGGAGGGCCCAU